AGUGCAAGCCAACUUGUCGCUCCAAUCCCUGCGAUUGGUGAGGAAAGUCCGGGCAACAUAGAGCGCCAUACUUCCUAACGGGAAGGGGUCCAGCGGGAGACGGCUGGAUUACAGCCAGUGCAACAGAAAACAAACCGUCCACCGUAGGUGGAUAAGGGUGAAAAGGUGGAGUAAGAGCCCACCGGGCAUCGGGUGACCGAUGUCGCAUGGCAAACCUUAUGGGUUGAAAGAUCAAAUAGGCUCCGGUCCAAGAGCUGCUCGUUCAAUUCCUGCCUAGGCGGGAAAACCGGAGUGGGUAGAUCGAUAGAUCCUGUCCGCGAGGACAGGACCAGAUAAAUGACAAGUACCCGCCACGGCGGGGACAGAACCCGGCUUAUAGGCUUGCACAUUUA
rnacentral:RNase_P_RNA from 1 species